UGAUGAUGAUGAUAAUGAUGAUGAUGAUGAUGAUGAUGAUGAUGAUGCUUUACAUCCCAAGACUACUCAUCAUCAUCCACUAUAAAAA
rnacentral:miRNA from 1 species